UUCGAUGCAACGCGCAAAACCUUACCAGCCAUUGACAUAUGAACACAAAAACCUGUCCUUAACAGGAUGGUAUUGACUUUCAUACAAGUGUUGCAUGGCUAUCAUCAGCUCGUGUCGUGAGAUGUUUGGUAAAGUCCUAUAACGAGGGAAACCCUCGUUUUGUGUUGCUGAGACAUGNUUUAGCUCAAAUAUGCCCUUACCGUCACAUAGUUGG
rnacentral:ncRNA from 1 species